rnacentral:sRNA from 1 species
GUUUCCGUAGGUGAACCUGCGGAAGGAUCAUUAGUGAAUUGAGCUGGCUUCGGCCGCUCUGAUCUAUACACACCUGUGAACUGUUGGCCUUCGGGUCUUUAAUUACAACUGUGACGAACGUAAAUUAUUAUAACAAAUAAAACUUUUAACAACGGAUCUCUUGGCUCUCGCAUCGAUGAAGAACGCAGCGAAAUGCGAUAAGUAAUGUGAAUUGCAGAAUUCAGUGAAUCAUCGAAUCUUUGAACGCACCUUGCGCCCGUUGGUAUUCCGACGGGCAUGCCUGUUUGAGUGUCGUGAACAACCUCAACCUUGAUUGGUUUUACCAUCAAGGCUUGGACUUGGGUGUUGCUGCUGCAAAGUGGCUCGCCUUAAAACUAUUAGCUGGACUUGUCUAUGACUUGGUUCGACUCGAUGUAAUAAGUAUUCAUCGGGGACAGGGUUAAACCUGGCCAAGGCUUGAUGCCGUCUGCUUCUAAUCAUGUUCUCACUAUGAGACGCUACUUUACUGUGUGGCCUCAAAUCAGGUAGGAUUACCCGCUGAACUUAAGCAUAUCAAUAAGCGGAGGAAAAGAAACUAACAAGGAUUCCCCUAGUAACGGCGAGUGAAGCGGGAUGAGCUCAAAUUUGUAAUCUGGUGGACUCAGUUCAUCCGAAUUGUAAUCUAUAGAAAAGUUUUCCGCGCUGGACCGUGUCUAAGUCCCUUGGAACAGGGUGUCAGAGAGGGUGAGAAUCCCGUGCUUGAUACGACCACCAGUGCUAUGUGAUACUUUUUCAACGAGUCGAGUUGUUUGGGAAU